AUGAAAGGAGAAAUGAGAAUAGACACAACUGAGGUUUAGAAAUAAGAGUGGAGAAUGUCUUAACAGAAGGAGACGAGAGAGUACACUCCAGGCGUAGGACAUGACGUGACCAAAACCUGGGGGUGGGCAUAUUUGGGAGACGACAAGGAAUCAGUCUGAGUAGACGAAGCUGGGGAUAUCUGUUUAUACUGUGAAAUAAUUCUGGCUGGAGAGUCCAGGUCCUAAUGGUGACCCUUGGAAGCUGACGUUAUUCUGAGUAGGGCCUGAACAGGGUUGUGGAAAUCGAACUCUAGAAAACAACAGUGGGAGAAGAAUACAUCUAGACUGGAAAGUGACUAGAAGUGUGUGUGGGGAUGGGAGAGGUGUCAGACUGCUGCCAAGGAGUGAAGUCAGGAGUCACUGGAUUGUCUGUUAGGAGAUGCACGGUAAUCAUCAAAGUUAACAGUUUCAGAUGGUGAUUAGACUGCAAAGGGGAUAUAAAGAAAUUGGUUGAAGGGUUGAAUAAUUGUAACUUACUUCUUUACUGUUUCCAAAGCAUUUUUCACCUUAUUUUUGACAUAGGCAGGUAAGAAAGACUGUAACUUGUCUAAGCCACAUGAGCCAAAAGAACUGAAGUCAAUUUCUCUAAUCAAAAAAAGAAAUUCAGUCAGUUAUUUGAAAACAUCAGUUAAGUAAGGACUCAAAACAACGUGACUCACGUAAAAGAUUUUUCUUUCACUGGGCUAUCCCUGCCUGGAUUUCAUUCUGUAUUUGGUGAGUUCACUAUUUUGUGAGUCCAGGUUACGUGAAGAACAUGAGAGAAAAAAACUAGAGACUGGCAUGCCCAGUUUCUCUUGGAGCUCGAGAAAAGGCAUAUGACCUGGGCUCUGUCAACCAGGCAAGCAGGCACAGAGGCAGACUCAGAGUUCACGAUAUGAAAGGGGAAGAAGGGAGCUCACUUUCUCUUCAGUGGUGGCAACAGAGGUCGCGGCCCCUUGGCUGAGUACCUGAUACACAGAUAGCUUCAGCGAUUGUGGGC
rnacentral:lncRNA from 1 species